rnacentral:misc_RNA from 1 species
GAUGAAGAACGUAGCGAAAUGCGAUAAGUAGUGUGAAUUGCAGAAUUCCGUGAAUCAUCGAAUCUUUGAACGCACAUUGCGCCUUCUGGUAUUCCGGAAGGCAUGCCUGUUCGAGAGUCAUUAACAACCGUUUCGAUCCCUUUCUUUCAGAAAUUACAAAGAGGAAAAGGGUUUGGUUAUGGUGGAGGAGGGAAAGGGAGCGUUUAGCCUGUAAAAAAAGAGGCUGUGUUCCGCCUCCCCCCCAAAACUGUACAGGCGGUCGUGUGCGCCCACGCAUCGAGGUGUUGUAAAAGCUGCCACGGCACUUUUCACCUGUGCAGUGCGAGAUUGGCCAGCCGGUUUAAAAACCCCUCCAAACAAUCAAAGGUUGACCUCGGAUCAGGUAGGGAUACCCGCUGAACUUAAGCAUAUCAAUAAGCGGAGGA